GGGUUGUGAGGUUAAGCGACUAAGCGUACACGGUGGAUGCCCUGGCAGUCAGAGGCGAUGAAGGACGUGCUAAUCUGCGAUAAGCGUCGGUAAGGUGAUAUGAACCGUUAUAACCGGCGAUUUCCGAAUGGGGAAACCCAGUGUGAUUCGUCACACUAUCAUUAACUGAAUCCAUAGGUUAAUGAGGCGAACCGGGGGAACUGAAACAUCUAAGUACCCCGAGGAAAAGAAAUCAACCGAGAUUCCCCCAGUAGCGGCGAGCGAACGGGGAGCAGCCCAGAGCCUGAAUCAGUGUGUGUGUUAGUGGAAGCGUCUGGAAAGGCGCGCGAUACAGGGUGACAGCCCCGUACACAAAAAUGCACAUACUGUGAGCUCGAUGAGUAGGGCGGGACACGUGGUAUCCUGUCUGAAUAUGGGGGGACCAUCCUCCAAGGCUAAAUACUCCUGACUGACCGAUAGUGAACCAGUACCGUGAGGGAAAGGCGAAAAGAACCCCGGCGAGGGGAGUGAAAAAGAACCUGAAACCGUGUACGUACAAGCAGUGGGAGCACGCUUAGGCGUGUGACUGCGUACCUUUUGUAUAAUGGGUCAGCGACUUAUAUUCUGUAGCAAGGUUAACCGAAUAGGGGAGCCGAAGGGAAACCGAGUCUUAACUGGGCGUUAAGUUGCAGGGUAUAGACCCGAAACCCGGUGAUCUAGCCAUGGGCAGGUUGAAGGUUGGGUAACACUAACUGGAGGACCGAACCGACUAAUGUUGAAAAAUUAGCGGAUGACUUGUGGCUGGGGGUGAAAGGCCAAUCAAACCGGGAGAUAGCUGGUUCUCCCCGAAAGCUAUUUAGGUAGCGCCUCGUGAAUUCAUCUCCGGGGGUAGAGCACUGUUUCGGCAAGGGGGUCAUCCCGACUUACCAACCCGAUGCAAACUGCGAAUACCGGAGAAUGUUAUCACGGGAGACACACGGCGGGUGCUAACGUCCGUCGUGAAGAGGGAAACAACCCAGACCGCCAGCUAAGGUCCCAAAGUCAUGGUUAAGUGGGAAACGAUGUGGGAAGGCCCAGACAGCCAGGAUGUUGGCUUAGAAGCAGCCAUCAUUUAAAGAAAGCGUAAUAGCUCACUGGUCGAGUCGGCCUGCGCGGAAGAUGUAACGGGGCUAAACCAUGCACCGAAGCUGCGGCAGCGACGCUGAUGCGUUGUUGGGUAGGGGAGCGUUCUGUAAGCCUG
rnacentral:rRNA from 1 species